AGAAAUAGAGAAUGAUUCUUCAGAUUUCUUGUUAAGUGAUCGUGAAAUACUUUGAUUAGGGUUUUUGAACUGCACAAAAAAUUCUAACAGAGACAAAAGGAUUGAAAUCCUCUAUGAAAAAACAUUAUGUUUUAAAAGAGUUGAUUUUUCUUUUACGGGCAACCCACAAUCUGCGACGAGUUUAUCCACAUGAAUUUGUGAUCUACGAUGGAUCUAUCCAUGAAGCCCACUAAUUUAUAUACAAAAAAACCAACGUCCAAUCCGCCUCGACAGAACUAACCCAACAGAUUUUAAUGCCUAAAACA
rnacentral:sRNA from 1 species